AAAGAGAGACAACACAACACAACAUAAGUGUUGAAGAAGGUAGAGACAUAAGAAGGUGGAGACAACAACAAGAAGGUGGAGACAACAACAAGAAGGUAGAGACAACAACAAGAAGGUGGAGACAACAACAAGAAGGUGGAGACAACAACAAGAAGGUAGAGACAACAACACAAAGGGCAAGAAGGUAGAGACAACAGCAAGAAGGUAGAGACAACAGCAAGAAGGUAGAGACAACAGCAAGAAGGUAGAGACAACAGCAAGAAGGUAGAGACAACAACAAGAAGGUAGAGACAACAACAAGAAGGUGGAGACAACAGCAAGAAGGUGGAGACAACAGCAAGAAGGUGGAGACAACAGCAAGAAGGUAGAGACAACAGCAAGAAGGUGGAGACAACAACACAUCACACAAAGCAGCCACAACUGUCAGUAAGAGUGUCCAUAAUUGAGUCUUUGAAUGAAGAGAUUGAGAUAAAACAGUCCAGUUUGAGUGUUUGUUGCAGCUCGUUCCAGUCGCUAGCUGAAGUGAACUGAAAAGAGGAGCGACCCAGGGAUGUGUGUGCUUUAGGGAUCUUUAACAGAAU
ensembl:lncRNA